GAUGAACGCUGGCGGCGUGCCUAAUACAUGCAAGUAGAACGCUGAAGCUUGGUGCUUGCACCGAGCGGAUGAGUUGCGAACGGGUGAGUAACGCGUAGGUAACCUGCCUCUUAGCGGGGGAUAACUAUUGGAAACGAUAGCUAAUACCGCAUAAAAGUUGACAUUGCAUGAUGUUGAUUUGAAAGAUGCAAUUGCAUCACUAAGAGAUGGACCUGCGUUGUAUUAGCUAGUUGGUGAGGUAACGGCUCACCAAGGCGACGAUACAUAGCCGACCUGAGAGGGUGAUCGGCCACACUGGGACUGAGACACGGCCCAGACUCCUACGGGAGGCAGCAGUAGGGAAUCUUCGGCAAUGGGGGCAACCCUGACCGAGCAACGCCGCGUGAGUGAAGAAGGUUUUCGGAUCGUAAAGCUCUGUUGUAAGAGAAGAACGAGUGUGAGAGUGGAAAGUUCACACUGUGACGGUAACUUACCAGAAAGGGACGGCUAACUACGUGCCAGCAGCCGCGGUAAUACGUAGGUCCCGAGCGUUAUCCGGAUUUAUUGGGCGUAAAGCGAGCGCAGGCGGUUAGAUAAGUCUGAAGUUAAAGGCUGUGGCUUAACCAUAGUACGCUUUGGAAACUGUUUAACUUGAGUGCAGGAGGGGAGAGUGGAAUUCCAUGUGUAGCGGUGAAAUGCGUAGAUAUAUGGAGGAACACCGGUGGCGAAAGCGGCUCUCUGGUCUGUAACUGACGCUGAGGCUCGAAAGCGUGGGGAGCAAACAGG
rnacentral:rRNA from 1 species